UCCUCUAGAUUUAUAGAUACUUUAAGGUCGGAAGGGACAAUUAUGAUAGUCUAGUCUGACCUCCUGCGCAACGCAGGCCACAUAAUCUCAUCCACCUACUCCUGUAACAAACCCCUGACCUAUAUCUGAGCUAUUGAAGUCCUCAACUCAUGGUUUAAAGACUUCAAGGUGCAAAGAAUCCUCCAGCAAGUGACCCGUGCCCCACGCUGCAGAGGAAGGCGAAAAAUUUCCAGGGCCUCUGCCUAUCUGCCCUGGAGGAUAAUUCCUUCCUGACCCCAAAUAUGGCAAUCAGCUAAACCCUGAGCAUGUGGGCAAGACUCAUCAGCCAGACACCCAGGAAAGAAUUCUCUGUAGUAACUCAGAUCCCACCCUAUCUAGUGUUCU